rnacentral:rRNA from 1 species
CAGCAGCCGCGGGAAUACGAAGGGGGCUAGCGUUGUUCGGAUUUACUGGGCGUAAAGCGCACGUAGGCGGACUUUUAAGUCAGGGGUGAAAUCCCGGGGCUCAACCCCGGAACUGCCUUUGAUACUGGAAGUCUUGAGUAUGGUAGAGGUGAGUGGAAUUCCGAGUGUAGAGGUGAAAUUCGUAGAUAUUCGGAGGAACACCAGUGGCGAAGGCGGCUCACUGGACCAUUACUGACGCUGAGGUGCGAAAGCGUGGGGAGCAAACAGGAUUAGAUACCCGCGUAGUCCCUGUCUCUUAUAA